rnacentral:tRNA from 1 species
GCAGGCCUUGCCCGAGGAAGCGCGGUCUGCGAUUCAGUUGCGGGAGGAGGAGAUUCUAAUCGCGCGGGAUGAUUCCGGCGGUCUACAC